UGAAGCCGGAAUUGCUAGUAAUGGCAGGUCAGCAUACUGCCGUGAAUACGUUCCCGGGCCUUGUACACACCGCCCGUCACACCAUGAGAGUUGGGGAUACCCGAAGCCUGUGAGCUAACUAUUUAUAGGAGCAGCAGUCGAAGGUAGAAUCAAUGAUUGGGGUGAAGUCGUAACAAGGUAUC
rnacentral:rRNA from 1 species